rnacentral:rRNA from 1 species
AACGAACGCUGGCGGCAUGCCUAACACAUGCAAGUCGAACGAGACCUUCGGGUCUAGUGGCGCGCGGGUGCGUAACGCGUGAGAACCUGCCCUUAGGUUCGGAAUAACUCCCCGAAAGGGGUGCUAAUACCGGAUAAUGUCUUCGGACCAAAGAUUUAUCGCCUUUGGAUGGGCCCGCGUUGGAUUAGCUAGUUGGUAGGGUAAAAGCCUACCAAGGCGACGAUCCAUAGCUGGUCUGAGAGGAUGAUCAGCCACACUGGGACUGAGACACGGCCCAGACUCCUACGGGAGGCAGCAGUGGGGAAUAUUGGACAAUGGGCGAAAGCCUGAUCCAGCAAUGCCGCGUGAGUGAUGAAGGCCUUAGGGUUGUAAAGCUCUUUUACCCGGGAUGAUAAUGACAGUACCGGGAGAAUAAGCUCCGGCUAACUCCGUG